AUCUAUGGCGGGCCAUUUCGGGAGACCUUCGGGUCUGCCGGUGUCCUUGUGGGCCGGUCUGUCAACCCGUUAUGGCCCGUCACCCUA
rnacentral:antisense_RNA from 1 species